rnacentral:misc_RNA from 1 species
UCCUGGUUUCCCAGGCAGUCCCGUCAGAGUGCUUUACCUAAAAAGGCAGUGGCAACUGACAGCAAGGGUUGCGCUCGUUAAAGGACUUAACCCAACAUCUCACGACACGAGCUGACGACAGCCAUGCAGCACCUGUGUAUAUGUCUAAGCUAAAAGCCUAGAAGAUCUCAUCUCUGAGACUGUCAUAUACAUGUCAAGCCCAGGUAAGGUUCCUCGCGUAGUGUCGAAUUAAACCACAUGUUCCACCGCUUGUGCGGACCCCCGUCAAUUCCUUUGAGUUUUAGCCUUGCGGCCGUAAUCCCCAGGCGAAUCACUUAACGCGUUAGCUACGACACUAACCCGAAAAAUCAGGCUAACGUCUAGUGAUUAUCGUUUACGGCGUGGACUAC